AAAUCAACAUCGAAAUUCAUUUGCUUUUGUAAAUGUUUAUCGGAUUUGAGCCGUCUUUUUUUAUUUUUUUUUAAUUAAAGUGGCUUAAAAUGUAUUUUUUUGGUAUCGAAAAACGUUAUUUUACGAUCAAAUUGAUUAAAAAAACAAACGUUUUCGAAUGCCGCCUUUUUAAUGUAAUACGUUUGACUGUGAUGGUUAAUCAUAGUUUCAUUCGUAUACGAUUUUUUAAU
rnacentral:misc_RNA from 1 species